AUGGAACAGACUACCACACCAACUGCCAGCACUACCACUGAGGCUACUACUGCAACAGCCACCACUACCAUUUCCACCGAAACUACAACCACCACAGCAGCCAUCACUUCAACUGAACCAACUACCACAAUGACUACCAGCAGUACUACUGAGGCCACAACAACCACGACUUUAAUGGAACCUAGUACCACACCAACUUCUAGCCCUACCACAGAGGUUACAACCACAACAGCCACCACUUCUGCUCCCACAGAAUCUACAACCACAAUAGCCACUACAUCAACUGAACAGACUACAACACCAACUACCAGCCCUACCACUGAGGCUACAACCACAACAGCCACCAUUUCUACUGAGCAGACUACCAUACCAACUGUCAGCAGUACCACUGAGGCUACAACCACACCAGUUACCACUUCAACAGAACAGACUACUACACCAACUGCCAGCACUACCACUGAGGCUACUACCACAACAGCCACCACUUCAACAGAACUGACUACCACACCAACUAGCAGCACUACCACUGAGGCUGCUACAGCAACAGCCACCACUACCAUUUCCACCAAAACUACAACCACCGCAACAGCCACCACUUCAACGGAACAGACUACCACCCCAACCUUCAGCACCACCACUGAGGCUACCACCACAACACGUACCACUUCAACUGAACAGACUACCACACCAACUGCCAGCACUACCACUGAGGCUACAACCACAACAGCCACCACUUCCAUGGAACAGACUACCACACCUACUGCCAGCACUACCAUUGAGGCUACAACCACAACAGCCACCACUUCUAUGGAACAGACUACCACACCAACUACCAGCACUACCACGGAGGCUACUACUGCAACAGCCACCACUACCAUUUCCACCGAAACGACAACCACCACAACAGCUACCACUUCAAUGGAACAGACUACCACCCCAACCUCCAGCACUACCACUGAGGCUACCACCACAACACCUAGCACUUCAACUGAACAGAUUACUACACCAACUGCCAGCCCUACCACUGAGGCUACUUCCACAGCAGCCACCACUUCAACUGAACUGACUACUACACCAACUACCAGCACCACCACUGAGACUGCUACUGCAACAGCCACCACUACCAUUUCCACUGACACUACAAUCACCACAGCAGCUAUCACUUCAACUGAACCAACUACCACAAUGACUACCAGAAGUACUACUGAGGCUGCCACAACAGCCACAACUUUAAUGGAACCAAGUACCACACCAACUUCCAGCCCUACCACGGAGGUUACAACCACACCAGCCACCACUACUGCUCCCACAGAGUCUACAACCACAAUAGCCACUACAUCAACUGAACAGACUACCACGCCAGCCUCCAGCACUACCACUGAGGCUACCACCACAACAGCUACCACUUCAACUGAACAGACUACCACACCAACUGCCAGCACUGCUACUGAGGCUACAACCACAACAGUCACCACUUCAGCUGAACAGACUACUACACCAACUGCCAGCACUACUACUGAGGCUACAACCACAACAGUCACCACUUCAACUGAACAGACUACUACACCAACUUCCAGCACUACCACUGAGGCUACAACCACAACAGCCACCACUUCCAUGGAACAGAGUACCACACCUACUGCCAGCACUACCACUGAGGCUACAACCACAACAGUCACCACUUCAACUGAACAAACUACUACACCAACUGCCAGCACUACCACUGAGGCUACAACCACAACAGCCACCACUUCAAUGGAACAGACUACCACACCUACUGCCAGAACUACCACUGAGGCUACAACCACAAUAGCCACCACUUCUAUGGAACAGACUACCACACCAACUACCAGCACUACCACUGAGGCUUCUACUGCAACAGCCACCUCUACCAUUUCCACCGAAACUACAACCACCACAACACCCAGCACUUCAACAGAACAGACUACCACCUCAACCUCCAGCACUAUCACUGAGGCUACCACCACAACACCUAGCACUUCAACUGAACAGACCACCACACCAACUGCCAGCACAACCACUGAGGCUACGACCACAAUAGCCACCACUUCUACUGAACAGACUACUACACCAACUGCCAGCCCUACCACUGAGGCUAUAACCACAACAGCCAUCACUUCUAUGGAACAGACUACCACACCAACUAGCAGCACUACCACUGAGGCUACUACAGCAACAGCCACCACUACCAUUUCCACUGAAACGACAACCGUCACAACAGCCACCACUUCAGUGGAACAGACUACCACCCCAAUCUCCAGCACUACCACUGAGACUACCUUCACAACAGCUACCACUUCAACUGAACAGACUACCACACCAACUGCCAGCACUACCACUGAGGCUACAACCACAACAGCCACCACUUCUACGGAGCAGACUACCACACCAACUGCCAGCCCUACCACUGAGGCUACUUCCACAGCAGCCACCGCUUCAACAGAACUGACUACUACACCAACUGCCAGCACCCCCACUGAGGCUACUACUGCAACAGCCACCACUACCAUUUCAACCGAAACUACAACCACCACAGCAGCUAUCACUUCAACUGAACCAACUACCACAAUGACUACCAGCAGUACUACUGAGGCUGCCACAACAACCACGACUUUAAUGGAACCAAGUACCACACCAACUUCCAGCCCUACCAUGGAGGUUACAACCACAACAGCCACCACUACUGCUCCCACAGAAUCUACAACCACAAUAGCCACUACAUCAACUGAACAGACUACCACACCAACUACCAGCACUACCACUGAGACUACCACUGCAACAGCCACCACUUCAACAGAACUGACUACCACACCAACUACCAGCACUACCACUGAGGCUACUACUGCAACAGCCACCACUACCAUUUCCACUGAAACUACAACUACCACAGCAGCCACCACUUCUACUGAGCAGACUACCAUACCAACUGUCAGCAGUACCACUGAGGCUACAACCACAACAGCCACCACUUCCACGGAACAGACUACCACACCAACUUCUGGCACUACCACUGAGGCUACCACAACAAUAGCCAGUACUUCAACUGAACAGACUACCACACAAACUACCAGUACUACCACUGAGGAUACCACCACAGCAGCCACCACUACAACAGAACUGCCUACCACACCAACUUCUGGCACUACCACUGAGGUUACCACAGCCAUAGCCAGUACUUCAACUGAACAGACUACCACACCAACUACCAGUAGUACCACUGAGGCUACCACCACAGCAGCCACCACUACAAUAGAACUGCCUACCACACUAAGUACCAGCAGUACCACUGGGGCUGCCUCCACUGCUUCCACUACUGCAGCUUCCACUGAACCUACAGACACCACAGCAUCUACCACUUCAACUGAACUGACUACCCCAAUGACUACCAGUAUUCCCACUGAGGCUACAACCAUAAUAGCUACCACUGCUGUUUCCACUGAACCUACAACCACAAUAGCCACUACAUCAACUGAGCAGACUACCACACCAACUACCAGCACUACCACUGAGACUACCACUGCAACAGCCACCACUUCAACAGAACUGACUACCACACCAACUACCAGCACUACCACUGAGGCUACCACUGCAACAGCCACCACUACCAUUUCCACUGAAACUACAACUACCACAGCAGCCACCACUUCUACUGAGCAGACUACCAUACCAACUGUCAGCAGGACCACUGAAGCUACAACCACAACAGCCACCACUUCAACGGAACAGACUACCACACCAACUUCUGGCACUACCACUGAGGCUACCACAGCCGUAGCCAGUACUUCAACUGAACAGACUACCACACCACCUACCAGUAGUACCACUGAGGCUACCACCACAGCAGCCACCACUACAACAGAACUGCCUACCACACUAAGUACCAGCAGUACCACUUGGGCUGCCUCCACUGCUUCCACUACUGCAGCUUCCACUGAACCUACAGACACCACAGCAUCUACCACUUCACUGAACUGA
rnacentral:lncRNA from 1 species